rnacentral:rRNA from 1 species
CACGCUGUAAACGAUGUGCGCUGGAUGUUGGGUAACUUAGUUACUCAGUGUCGUAGCUAACGCGAUAAGCGCACCGCCUGGGGAGNACGCGCAGAACCUUACCAGGACUUGACAUGGGGAGGCUGUAAUCAGAGAUGGUUAUUUCCCGCAAGGGACCUCCUGCACAGGUGC